AGAGUUUGAUCCUGGCUCAGGAUGAACGCUAGCUACAGGCUUAACACAUGCAAGUCGAGGGGCAGCAUGGUCUUAGCUUGCUAAGGCUGAUGGCGACCGGCGCACGGGUGAGUAACACGUAUCCAACCUGCCGUCUACUCUUGGACAGCCUUCUGAAAGGAAGAUUAAUACAAGAUGGCAUCAUGAGUCCGCAUGUUCACAUGAUUAAAGGUAUUCCGGUAGACGAUGGGGAUGCGUUCCAUUAGAUAGUAGGCGGGGUAACGGCCCACCUAGUCUUCGAUGGAUAGGGGUUCUGAGAGGAAGGUCCCCCACAUUGGAACUGAGACACGGUCCAAACUCCUACGGGAGGCAGCAGUGAGGAAUAUUGGUCAAUGGGCGAGAGCCUGAACCAGCCAAGUAGCGUGAAGGAUGACUGCCCUAUGGGUUGUAAACUUCUUUUAUAGAGGAAUAAAGUCGGGUAUGCAUACCCGUUUGCAUGUACUUUAUGAAUAAGGAUCGGCUAACUCCGUGCCAGCAGCCGCGGUAAUACGGAGGAUCCGAGCGUUAUCCGGAUUUAUU
rnacentral:rRNA from 1 species